rnacentral:rRNA from 1 species
AUGAAGCAUCUGCAUAAGUUUCUCCAUAAAGAAAAUCUUCCUUGGGUACAUCUUAUUUGGGAUUCUUACUAUCCUGAUGGAGUGAUCACUAAUAGGAAUGUUGGCUCAUUCUGGUGGAAAAGUAUCUUCAAACUGUUACCUAGUUUUAAAAUGGUAGCCAAAGGGCAGUUGGGCACAGGAAACACUAUUGAUUUUUGGAUGGACAACUGGGGACAUGGCACCACAAGACAUAAAUUCCCAGAGCUUUACUCCUUUGCCACCAAGGACACAGUGAGCAUUCAGGAGUUUUUACAUCAGCCAAACAUAAGUGACAAUUUCUUCCUCCCACUCUCAGCUCAAGCACAAAACCAGUUCAUAGAGCUCUAG